GAGCCAGCUGGACAGGAGC
rnacentral:miRNA from 1 species